UUUCUCAAACCCUAGUUGCCAAUGCAAACCGCCACUCAUCCCCUUCAUACCACACCAAUAGAAGAAAGAAAGAAAAAAAAAAGUAAAGGGAAGAACACAGAGUAGAGGGCGUAGAGGAAGAAUGAGAAAGGGGGAAGAGGGAGGAGAGGAAGAUGGCGCCGGCCGGCAUCACUGCCGCCGCGCCGUCGUGUCACCAUCGAAGGAAGGAGGGAGCCGCGUGGGGAAACUUAGCCGAAGAGAGAGAGGAGACACGAGCAAGGGAAAAGGAGAAGAGGGAGGCCCCACUGCCAUCACCGUCGCGUUGUUGCCGCAGAGCCCAUCGUUGUCAUCGUUUCAUGCGCCAUCCUCGUGCCCAGCCUUGCCGCCAAGUCGCCGCACAGUCGCACCGAGGGAGAACGCUUGCGGGAAGAGAGAAGACGCCGCCAAGGAUCCCGUCGCCGUCAGAUCUAUCACGCCGCCAUUGAGGGAGCUCGUCACCGUCGUGCUUCCAUCAGCGCCAUGGAUCUGCUCCAUCGCCGAACUGAACUAUGGAUGAAGGGUCAGAACGCGACGGGAAAGGGAGACACCUUCCACCGCUGUCUUGCCGCCAGAGCCGUGUCACCAUCGUGAACCGCCGCCGUCUGGCUGUCGGAAGCCGCCGCUGAGCCUUUGCCUUCUUGGGUUGAGUUCCGAUGAUUUCAUAUCAAAAUUAAGGUUACCGAUGGACCACCGGAGUUUCUGGCCGCUGUCGGAGCUACCGCCGGGUCAGCUUGGGAUUGCGACUGCUUCGUUUUGCUGUUACCGAUUGAGUUAUCGGGAUUGCCUGUUGCGAUUAAAGCCAUUUCUGCUAUUGCGGAAGUGAACAGACCUGUGGUUGAAGCUGUAGUUGAUUUCGGGCUGAGAGAAGAGGUUCUUGUGACGCGUCUAGUUUAUGGGUUCAAUUUUUUGAGAUAGGGUUUUCCUUAAAAUUUAUUCUAUAUUGCAGAGUUGUUAUAAAUAGAUAUUGAUGUGAAACAAUAUAUUUUUGUGAUUAUGUUUGUCUCGUAGAUGUAAUUGUUUGCUGGAUUAAAUUACUGAUUGCUUGAGUGGUGUGCGUUGUUGAUAAGAAAUUGGUUUGUAAGGUUAUUGAGUUGAUUAUUAUGAGAAAUGAUUUUUAUUGGUUUUGGAAUUAA